GGGUUGUGAGGUUAAGCGACUAAGCGUACACGGUGGAUGCCCUGGCAGUCAGAGGCGAUGAAGGGCGUGCUAAUCUGCGAUAAGCGCCGGUAAGGUGAUAUGAACCGUUAUAACCGGCGAUACCCGAAUGGGGAAACCCAGUGUGAUUCGUCACACUAUCAUUAACUGAAUCCAUAGGUUAAUGAGGCGAACCGGGGGAACUGAAACAUCUAAGUACCCCGAGGAAAAGAAAUCAACCGAGAUUCCCCCAGUAGCGGCGAGCGAACGGGGAGGAGCCCAGAGCCUGAAUCAGCAUGUGUGUUAGUGGAAGCGUCUGGAAAGGCGCGCGAUACAGGGUGACAGCCCCGUACACAAAAGCGCAUGUGCUGUGAGCUCGAUGAGUAGGGCGGGACACGUGGUAUCCUGUCUGAAUAUGGGGGGACCAUCCUCCAAGGCUAAAUACUCCUGACUGACCGAUAGUGAACCAGUACCGUGAGGGAAAGGCGAAAAGAACCCCGGCGAGGGGAGUGAAAAAGAACCUGAAACCGUGUACGUACAAGCAGUGGGAGCACAGGUUUACCUGUGUGACUGCGUACCUUUUGUAUAAUGGGUCAGCGACUUAUAUUCUGUAGCAAGGUUAACCGUAUAGGGGAGCCGGAGGGAAACCGAGUCUUAACCGGGCGUUAAGUUGCAGGGUAUAGACCCGAAACCCGGUGAUCUAGCCAUGGGCAGGUUGAAGGUUGGGUAACACUAACUGGAGGACCGAACCGACUAAUGUUGAAAAAUUAGCGGAUGACCUGUGGCUGGGGGUGAAAGGCCAAUCAAACCGGGAGAUAGCUGGUUCUCCCCGAAAGCUAUUUAGGUAGCGCCUCGUGAAUUCAUCUCCGGGGGUAGAGCACUGUUUCGGCUAGGGGGCCAUCCCGGCUUACCAACCCGAUGCAAACUGCGAAUACCGGAGAAUGUUAUCACGGGAGACACACGGCGGGUGCUAACGUCCGUCGUGAAGAGGGAAACAACCCAGACCGCCAGCUAAGGUCCCAAAGUCAUGGUUAAGUGGGAAACGAUGUGGGAAGGCCCAGACAGCCAGGAUGUUGGCUUAGAAGCAGCCAUCAUUUAAAGAAAGCGUAAUAGCUCACUGGUCGAGUCGGCCUGCGCGGAAGAUGUAACGGGGCUAAACCAUGCACCGAAGCUGCGGCAGCGAACGUAUCACCCAAGACAACUUUACGGAGUUGACGAUUGACGGAGCGAAGCGACGUCAAAGCGUUCAUUAAAGUCGAGUUGGCUUAGGGAUACGUUCGUUGGGUAGGGGAGCGUUCUGUAAGCCUGUGAAGGUGUGUCGUGAGGCAUGCUGGAGGUAUCAGAAGUGCGAAUGCUGACAUAAGUAACGAUAAAGCGGGUGAAAAGCCCGCUCGCCGGAAGACCAAGGGUUCCUGUCCAACGUUAAUCGGGGCAGGGUGAGUCGACCCCUAAGGCGAGGCCGAAAGGCGUAGUCGAUGGGAAACGGGUUAAUAUUCCCGUACUUGGUGUUACUGCGAAGGGGGGACGGAGAAGGCUAUGUUGGCCGGGCGACGGUUGUCCCGGUUUAAGCGUGUAGGUGUGUGUUCCAGGUAAAUCCGGUUCACUUUAACACUGAGGCGUGACGACGAGGCACUACGGUGCUGAAGCAACAAAUGCCCUGCUUCCAGGAAAAGCCUCUAAGCAUCAGGUAACACGAAAUCGUACCCCAAACCGACACAGGUGGUCAGGUAGAGAAUACCAAGGCGCUUGAGAGAACUCGGGUGAAGGAACUAGGCAAAAUGGUGCCGUAACUUCGGGAGAAGGCACGCUGACACGUAGGUGAAGUGAUUUACUCAUGGAGCUGAAGUCAGUCGAAGAUACCAGCUGGCUGCAACUGUUUAUUAAAAACACAGCACUGUGCAAACACGAAAGUGGACGUAUACGGUGUGACGCCUGCCCGGUGCCGGAAGGUUAAUUGAUGGGGUCAGCGUAAGCGAAGCUCCUGAUCGAAGCCCCGGUAAACGGCGGCCGUAACUAUAACGGUCCUAAGGUAGCGAAAUUCCUUGUCGGGUAAGUUCCGACCUGCACGAAUGGCGUAAUGAUGGCCAGGCUGUCUCCACCCGAGACUCAGUGAAAUUGAACUCGCUGUGAAGAUGCAGUGUACCCGCGGCAAGACGGAAAGACCCCGUGAACCUUUACUAUAGCUUGACACUGAACAUUGAGCCUUGAUGUGUAGGAUAGGUGGGAGGCUUUGAAGUGUGGACGCCAGUCUGCAUGGAGCCGACCUUGAAAUACCACCCUUUAAUGUUUGAUGUUCUAACGUGGACCCGUAAUCCGGGUUGCGGACAGUGUCUGGUGGGUAGUUUGACUGGGGCGGUCUCCUCCUAAAGAGUAACGGAGGAGCACGAAGGUUGGCUAAUCCUGGUCGGACAUCAGGAGGUUAGUGCAAUGGCAUAAGCCAGCUUGACUGCGAGCGUGACGGCGCGAGCAGGUGCGAAAGCAGGUCAUAGUGAUCCGGUGGUUCUGAAUGGAAGGGCCAUCGCUCAACGGAUAAAAGGUACUCCGGGGAUAACAGGCUGAUACCGCCCAAGAGUUCAUAUCGACGGCGGUGUUUGGCACCUCGAUGUCGGCUCAUCACAUCCUGGGGCUGAAGUAGGUCCCAAGGGUAUGGCUGUUCGCCAUUUAAAGUGGUACGCGAGCUGGGUUUAGAACGUCGUGAGACAGUUCGGUCCCUAUCUGCCGUGGGCGCUGGAGAACUGAGGGGGGCUGCUCCUAGUACGAGAGGACCGGAGUGGACGCAUCACUGGUGUUCGGGUUGUCAUGCCAAUGGCACUGCCCGGUAGCUAAAUGCGGAAGAGAUAAGUGCUGAAAGCAUCUAAGCACGAAACUUGCCCCGAGAUGAGUUCUCCCUGAGACUUAGAGUCUCCUGAAGGAACGUUGAAGACGACGACGUUGAUAGGCCGGGUGUGUAAGCGCAGCGAUGCGUUGAGCUAACCGGUACUAAUGAACCGUGAGGCUUAACCUUACAACGCCGAAG
rnacentral:rRNA from 2 species